rnacentral:rRNA from 1 species
CCUACGGGUGGCUGCAGUGGGGAAUUUUGGACAAUGGGGGCAACCCUGAUCCAGCCAUUCCGCGUGAGUGAAGAAGGCCUUCGGGUUGUAAAGCUCUUUCGGCCGGGAAGAAAUCGCAUCUCCUCAUACGGGGUGUGGAUGACGGUACCGGAAGAAGAAGCACCGGCUAACUACGUGCCAGCAGCCGCGGUCAUACGUAGGGUGCGAGCGUUAAUCGGAAUUACUGGGCGUGACGCAUGCGCAGGGGGGUGAAAGCCCCGGGCUUAACCUGGGAACUGCGUUUGUGACUGGUGGGCUUGAGUGCGGCAGAGGGGGGUGGAAGUCCACGUGUAGCAGUGAAAUGCGUAGAGAUGUGGAGGAACACCGAUGGCGAAGGCAGCCCCCUGGGUCGACACUGACGCUCAUGCACGAAAGCGUGGGGAGCAAACAGGAUUAGAUACCCUGGUAGUC